GCCACAGGGGACGAAUCUAUGUGGAUACUAUGUUUGCGAGUCCAUUCGCAUGUUAACCACUGAGAAGCACAACGAUAAUAGAUUCAACGUCGACUUCAUGCGGGAGAAGCUCCAACCACACGAGCACAUACUAGGAAUUACGGAGGAAUUGGCGGGACUUCUAAUGAAAGAAGUAAUAGACGACAACGGCUUGUUUAGUCCAAAUAGGCGCAACAAAUGAUCCCCAUGUAUUAGUUCGAAUAGACGACGGGCUUUAGUCCCGGUGGUAGUGACCUCCAUGUAUAUGUGUAAGGGGAAUCUACGAAGUUUUGCUCCCAAUAUUUGUUUGCUCGAUCUAUAUAUAAUGAAUGAACGUGUACAACU